GAAAAAUGAAGAUAAAUUGAACCACCAUCAGCGAAUUGGGCUGAAAUAUUUUGAGGACUUUGAAAAGAGAAUUCCUCGUGAGGAGAUGCUGCAAAUGCAGGACAUUGUUCUUAAUGAAGUUAAAAAGCUGGAUCCCGAGUACAUCGCUACAGUCUGCGGCAGUUUCCGAAGAGGCGCAGAGUCCAGUGGAGAUAUGGACGUUCUGCUGACCCACCCAAACUUCACGUCAGAAUCAAGCAAACAGAUACUCUGUCAAAGGGUGAGACAAAGUUCAUGGUAAGUGUCCACGCUUAUAGCUUUCUGUCACCAUCGCAGAUAGCUGGGGUCACAGCAUGACGGCUCACGCCAAGCUGCAGGGCAGCCAGAGCUCCACAGAGGCCCUGCCUCAAAACAACAAAAGAAAUGGCAGAACUCUGAGAUCUCGGGGAAGUAAUGUUAGCGCUCAGAGUUACUUCCGGAAUAUUUCAGUAAAGGAUUUUCUUGUAAAUACUGUGUUAAUGAUUUGAAUCACCAAAAUAAUUAGGCAGAAUUUGCCCUUUAAAACUAUUCAUAAUAACGAGCACGAAGUAAGUUCUUUCCUAAAAUAGCAAGUGCUUCAUAGUCUCUGACUUAGGAGUUUUAAUGAGUGAGGUUCAAAAUGCCUGAUUAGUUCCAGGUGGAAAAACCAAUCU
rnacentral:lncRNA from 1 species